rnacentral:tRNA from 1 species
GCCUGGGUGGCUCAGUCGGUUGAGCGUCCGACUUCGGCUCAGGUCAUGAUCUCACAGUUGGUGGGUUCGAGCCCCGCAUCAGGCU